CCAUUUUUGGCUAUGUGUAACUUUCAAAGGAAGGCAAUUCAGAAAAUUCACGCCUUCUAUCAGACAGCGGCGGACAUGACGCGUUGUUUGCCAUCAACGUCAGAAGAAGAAGAAGCGGGAAAACAGUAGGUGGCGUAACAUUUUAACGUUGUGUGCGCCGACCUCGAACGAAAACGAGGAAGAAGAAGAAAGAGAAGAAGAAGCGGGAACGUUUUUGGAAACGACAACCGUAACGCUUGUGACAGAAGACUUGGAGAGGAUUGACAAAAAGAAAAUGACAACAUAAGAGGUUAAGAGUUCCCACAAAGAAAAUGAAGGACCUGCACAAUUCUCCUCCCCCAAAUGAGCAAUCUGGGUGUUUGGCCUUCGUCAGAUGGGAGGACGGUUAUACCGGCAAAAUCUUUACUGGAGCAGACAUUUUGUCAAGAGAUGAAGCUCCUGUGCAGAUCUUAGAUCUUAGAACAGGAGAUUCUGUUUUAGCAAAGUGGUCAGAUGGUACAUUUUAUAGGGCAACUGUUGAAUAUAUUUCAGGAAAAGUGACGGGGGACUUGUAACAGGCAGCAACACUGUUGGACCACCACCCUAUGGGAGAGAUGCAGGCAACCCAUCUGUCGAGGACACUAUCUCAUAUCGACCGCAGGCAGAAAAAUCAUGGACGCCAUGUGAUGGAUGUUGGGAGGAGUUCGAAAAAAUCCUGCGAGAAAAGCAACAAAUCGAAGAAGUCCUCUUGAAAA